GAAGCCUUAGCUUAAUUAAAGUGUCUAAGUUGCAAUUAGAUGUUGUGGAUUAAAGUUCUGCAGGGGUU
rnacentral:tRNA from 1 species